CUCUCCCUCUCUCUCUUUCUCUCUUUCGCUCUCUCUCCCUCUCUCCUUCUCUCUCUCUCUCUCUCUGAAAAGGACAGUCUAUUUUGUGCAUAUUGUGUGAGGCGGUUUGAGUAAGUGUCCUCUCAGAAAUCGACUGUAAACUUAGGAGGAGGGGAGGACUGGGGAGUCACUGUACUGCUCUAGGUGAAGACUGAGGGAGGUGAAAAGAAGAGAGGGAAUGGACUGGGGUGUUAGAGAGAUUGAGAGAGACGUUGAGAGCAGAGAGAGAGAUGAGGGAGAGUAUCUGGAGUGGUAUGCGGAUGAGAGUUUAUUUUUAGAGUAGCAUUUUAUCUUUCAGCACUGUGUGUGUGUGUGUGUGUGUGUGUGUGUGUGUGUGUGUGUGUGGAGCCACAGACCACUGUCCCCUACAUACCACUGAGGUCACCGAGAGGCCAGUGUUCAAGAGAGGGAGAGAGUAAAAUGACAUUAUAACAUGCAAAUCUCUAAUAGAAAAAUAAUGAUCAAACUGGGAGGGAGACUACAAAAAGAAAGGAAUACUGAGUGUGUAAACUGGGAGGGAGACUACAAAAAGAAAGGAAUACUGAGUGUGUAAACUGGGAGGGAGACUACAAAAAGAAAGGAAUACUGAGUGUGUAAACUGGGAGGGAGACUACAAAAAGAAAGGAAUACUGAGUGUGUAAACUGGGAGGGAGACUACAAAAAGAAAGGAAUACUGAGUGUGUAAACUGGGAGGGAGACUACAAAAAGUAAGGAAUACUGAGUGUGUAAACUGGGAGGGAGACUACAAAAAGAAAGGAAUACCGAGUGUGUAAACUGGGAGGGAGACUACAAAAAGAAAGGAAUACUGAGUGUGUAAACUGGGAGGGAGACUACAAAAAGAAAGGAAUACUGAGUGUGUAAACUGGGAGGGAGACUACAAAAAGAAAGGAAUACUGAGUGUGUAAACUGGGAGGGAGACUACAAAAAGAAAGGAAUACUGAGUGUGUAAACUGGGAGGGAGACUGGGAGGGAGACUACAAAAAGAAAGGAAUACUGAGUGUGUAAACUGGGAGGGAGACUACAAAAAGAAAGGAAUACCGAGUGUGUAAACUGGGAGGGAGACUACAAAAAGAAAGGAAUACUGAGUGUGUAAACUGGGAGGGAGACUACAAAAAGAAAGGAAUACUGAGUGUGUAAACUGGGAGGGAGACUACAAAAAGAAAGGAAUACUGAGUGUGUAAACUGGGAGGGAGACUACAAAAAGAAAGGAAUGCUGAGUGUGUAAACUGGGAGGGAGACUACAAAAAGAAAGGAAUACUGAGUGUGUAAACUGGGAGGGAGACUACAAAAAGAAAGGAAUACUGAGUGUGUAAACUGGGAGGGAGACUACAAAAAGAAAGGAAUACUGAGUGUGUAAACUGGGAGGGAGACUACAAAAAGAAAGGAAUACCGAGUGUGUAAACUGGGAGGGAGACUACAAAAAGAAAGGAAUGCCGAGUGUGUAAACUGGGAGGGAGACUACAAAAAGAAAGGAAUACCGAGUGUGUAAACUGGGAGGAAGACUACAAAAAGAAAGGAAUGCUGAGUGUGUAAACUGGGAGGGAGACUACAAAAAGAAAGGAAUACUGAGUGUGUAAACUGGGAGGGAGACUACAAAAAGAAAGGAAUACUGAGUGUGUAAACUGGGAGGGAGACUACAAAAAGAAAGGAAUACCGAGUGUGUAAACUGGGAGGGAGACUACAAAAAGAAAGGAAUACUGAGUGUGUAAACUGGGAGGGAGACUA